AGUAAUGCAUAGGAAUCUGCCCGGUAGUGGGGGAUAACUUGAGGAAACUCAAGCUAAUACCGCAUACGCCCUACGGGGGAAAGCAGGGGCUCUUCGGACCUUGCGCUAUCGGAUGAGCUUAUGUCGGAUUAGCUAGUUGGUGAGGUAACGGCUUACCAAGGCGACGAUCCGUAGCUGGUCUGAGAGGAUGAUCAGCCACAUCGGGACUGAGACACGGCCCGAACUCCUACGGGAGGCAGCAGUGGGGAAUAUUGGACAAUGGGCGAAAGCCUGAUCCAGCCAUGCCGCGUGUGUGAAGAAGGCCCUCGGGUUGUAAAGCACUUUCAGUGAGGAAGAAGGCUUGUCGGUUAAUACCCGGCAGGAAGGACAUCACCCACA
rnacentral:rRNA from 1 species